GAUUUUAUUUUUUAUGUUUUUAGAUGUUCAUGUUUUUGAAUGUUUUAUUCGAAUAAUAUAAAAAAUAAAAUAUAUAUUGACAUGGAUUAAACAAAGAUAUAUAUUAUUCUAUGUUGUAUAAACAAAUUGGCAAAAUAGAGAUGGAAGAUAAAAAUAUGGUCAAAGUAAUAAGAGUCUAUGGUGAAUGCCUAGGAGCUUUAAGGCGAAGAAGGUCGUGGUAAGCUGCGAAAAGCUUGGGGGAGAAGCAAACAUUUAUUGAUCCCAAGAUUACCGAAUGGAGUAAUCCAGCUAGCAAGAUGCUAGCUAUCUAUUAUUUAAUUAAUARAGGCRAUACCAGG
rnacentral:misc_RNA from 1 species